AUUGAACGCUGGCGGCAUGCCUUACACAUGCAAGUCGAACGGCAGCGGGCCUUCGGGUGCCGGCGAGUGGCGAACGGGUGAGUAAUGCAUCGGAACGUGCCAUUGAGUGGGGGAUAACGUAGCGAAAGUUGCGCUAAUACCGCAUAUUCUGUGAGCAGGAAAGCAGGGGACCGCAAGGCCUUGCGCUCUUUGAGCGGCCGAUGUCAGAUUAGCUAGUUGGUGGGGUAAAGGCCUACCAAGGCGACGACCUGUAGCGGGUCUGAGAGGAUGAUCCGCCACACUGGAACUGAGACACGGUCCAGACUCCUACGGGAGGCAGCAGUGGGGAAUUUUGGACAAUGGGGGCAACCCUGAUCCAGCCAUGCCGCGUGAGUGAAGAAGGCCUUCGGGUUGUAAAGCUCUUUCGGCCGGGAAGAAAUCGCAUGGGCCAAUACCCUGUGUGGAUGACGGUACCGGAACAAGAAGCACCGGCUAACUACGUG
rnacentral:rRNA from 1 species